rnacentral:lncRNA from 1 species
GCUGUGUGUGUGUCCAUCUCACACACUGAUGGUGAAUGGGGCUGACAAGGGGUUUUCUCUCUCCCCUUCCCCAGCUGUUGACUAGCCCUGAGGCCAGUAAGAUGGAUCUGCUUCUUGUUAUAGAGGCUUGCAAAACCUAAACCAAACCAGAGCAUGUUGUUAUCUAGAAGUGAAUGUCAUGUCCUAAGGAGGAUGCUGAAGAUGGUUUAUGAGCUGUGAGAUCUUCCAGCUUGCACGGUAAACCACCAUCAAAAUCCAUACCUCAGCAGUACUGAGGUCAGUGAUAGCCAGGGCUGGGUGCUGAGCAGACAAACUUGAACAAAUGUCUUAUUUCUCAGCUGUAUGAACAAAGGAAUUGUGACUCUCUGAGGCUGUGUUUUACUCUGCAAACAAUCCCUGUGGGCUAGGCUUGGGACCUUGCUGGGAUCUCUUUUUUCUCUAACAUCUUGCACUUGUUCUGGUUCAGAAGAGGAUUUGAAGCCCAGCAGGACUGAGCAAGCAGAUCUUUCAGGCCAAGCAUCACUGAUAAAAUUCACAAUGCUUAUGCUGAAAAAGCAGAAGAGCCUUGAUCAAUCUCAGGUAGUUAAAAGGUAUUUCUUGGUCAGAGCCACGCAAUGGUUUCUUUCUGUUUCUUUCUUCCAGGCAUAGCAGCAGCAGGGAUGGGGAGAGUGCGGAGAGAUAGGAACAAAAGCAGGGAGGAACAGAAGCUCAGGCCCUGCAUCCCUCAGAAGUCCUCUUCUACUGGGAUUCACAUCAGACUGAUCCAGCCACCCAGACACCUUCCAGCAAUUCUGACUCUGGCCUUUGGAGCAGCUCCAGCAAGAAAAGGGAACUAAAGGAAAGGCAGAAUGAAAUAAAACCUUGAUGAUUUC